CAGCAGCGCGGGAAUACAGAGGGUGCAAGCGUUAAUCGGAAUUACUGGGCGUAAAGCGCGCGUAGGUGGUUUGUUAAGUUGGAUGUGAAAUCCCCGGGCUCAACCUGGGAACUGCAUCCAAAACUGGCAAGCUAGAGUAUGGUAGAGGGUGGUGGAAUUUCCUGUGUAGCGGUGAAAUGCGUAGAUAUAGGAAGGAACACCAGUGGCGAAGGCGACCACCUGGACUGAUACUGACACUGAGGUGCGAAAGCGUGGGGAGCAAACAGGAUUAGAUACCCCUGUAGUCCCUGUCUCUUAUACA
rnacentral:rRNA from 1 species